AAAUUGAAGAGUUUGAUCAUGGCUCAGAUUGAACGCUGGCGGCAGGCCUAACACAUGCAAGUCGAGCGGUAGCACAGAGAGCUUGCUCUCGGGUGACGAGCGGCGGACGGGUGAGUAAUGUCUGGGAAACUGCCUGAUGGAGGGGGAUAACUACUGGAAACGGUAGCUAAUACCGCAUAACGUCGCAAGACCAAAGUGGGGGACCUUCGGGCCUCAUGCCAUCAGAUGUGCCCAGAUGGGAUUAGCUAGUAGGUGGGGUAACGGCUCACCUAGGCGACGAUCCCUAGCUGGUCUGAGAGGAUGACCAGCCACACUGGAACUGAGACACGGUCCAGACUCCUACGGGAGGCAGCAGUGGGGAAUAUUGCACAAUGGGCGCAAGCCUGAUGCAGCCAUGCCGCGUGUGUGAAGAAGGCCUUCGGGUUGUAAAGCACUUUCAGCGGGGAGGAAGGCGUUAAGGUUAAUAACCUCAUCGAUUGACGUUACCCGCAGAAGAAGCACCGGCUAACUCCGUGCCAGCAGCCGCGGUAAUACGGAGGGUGCAAGCGUUAAUCGGAAUUACUGGGCGUAAAGCGCACGCAGGCGGUCUGUCAAGUCGGAUGUGAAAUCCCCGGGCUCAACCUGGGAACUGCAUUCGAAACUGGCAGGCUAGAGUCUUGUAGAGGGGGGUAGAAUUCCAGGUGUAGCGGUGAAAUGCGUAGAGAUCUGGAGGAAUACCGGUGGCGAAGGCGGCCCCCUGGACAAAGACUGACGCUCAGGUGCGAAAGCGUGGGGAGCAAACAGGAUUAGAUACCCUGGUAGUCCACGCCGUAAACGAUGUCGAUUUGGAGGUUGUGCCCUUGAGGCGUGGCUUCCGGAGCUAACGCGUUAAAUCGACCGCCUGGGGAGUACGGCCGCAAGGUUAAAACUCAAAUGAAUUGACGGGGGCCCGCACAAGCGGUGGAGCAUGUGGUUUAAUUCGAUGCAACGCGAAGAACCUUACCUGGUCUUGACAUCCACAGAACUUAGCAGAGAUGCUUUGGUGCCUUCGGGAACUGUGAGACAGGUGCUGCAUGGCUGUCGUCAGCUCGUGUUGUGAAAUGUUGGGUUAAGUCCCGCAACGAGCGCAACCCUUAUCCUUUGUUGCCAGCGGUUCGGCCGGGAACUCAAAGGAGACUGCCAGUGAUAAACUGGAGGAAGGUGGGGAUGACGUCAAGUCAUCAUGGCCCUUACGACCAGGGCUACACACGUGCUACAAUGGCAUAUACAAAGAGAAGCGACCUCGCGAGAGCAAGCGGACCUCAUAAAGUAUGUCGUAGUCCGGAUUGGAGUCUGCAACUCGACUCCAUGAAGUCGGAAUCGCUAGUAAUCGUAGAUCAGAAUGCUACGGUGAAUACGUUCCCGGGCCUUGUACACACCGCCCGUCACACCAUGGGAGUGGGUUGCAAAAGAAGUAGGUAGCUUAACCUUCGGGAGGGCGCUUACCACUUUGUGAUUCAUGACUGGGGUGAAGUCGUAACAAGGUAACCGUAGGGGAACCUGCGGUUGGAUCACCUCCUUACCUUAAAGAA
rnacentral:rRNA from 1 species